UUUGCAGAAAGUACGUACUGUCCUUGAUAGUUCUAGUUUCCCCUUCCUUGAAUAACUUCGUAGUGGUUAAGGGUUAGCAUCAAAAUGUUAUUCCUGCUUGUCUUCAUGUUGUUUUAUGUUGUGCAGAGAUGAAUUCAUAUUUGUUUCUAGAUUAGACCUCUACCACCUUCUCUGCUUAGUUUCUAUACACCCUUUUCACAUGUUUUUCAGAUGUUUGAACUUGAGAAUCAGAUUGAGGAGAAAAAGGUGAUUCUCAAGUCAUUAGAAGAUCUGGAUUCUGUACGUGAAAGGUAAUGCACUGUGCUUUCAGAUUUACGCCCUUACAAUGACUUUAUUUGGGUUCUUCACCUUUUCUACCUUCAGGUUUGAUGCUACAGAACAGGUUGAGGACGCAUUCACAGGCUUGAGGGUUCUCAAGUUUGAUGAAAACUUCAUUACGCUCCAACUGCGAACAUGUAUUCCAAAACUAGAUGGCUUGCUUGGACAGCACGACCUUGUGCACACUACUGAACCAUCUGAAUUGAUCCAUGAAUUGCUAAUUCAUCUCAAGGAUAAAACUACAGAGAUAACAAAAGUUGAGGUAAGAACACGCCUCCGAGUUUUUACCACCGACGUGUUUUUGUUUGAGUUUUGCAUGAAUAUAAAUGAACUUUUUUGUUACUUCCUAUUUCCUUUCGUGAAUAAUACUAAAAUCUACUUUUCUCCCUCAGAUGCUUCCAAAUGAUGUAUACAUAGGAGACAUCAUUGACGCUGCUGAUUCUCUCAGGUUUGUGCUCUGGCUUCUUUGUGUUGUCCUGAAAUUUGGUUUGCUUAUCAAUCUUGAAUUUUACUGCUACUUAAGUUAUAGAUUAAUAAGGAAUCAUAGACAAGAUGAUAUUUUUCUAUCUAUUCUUGCUAUCAAAACCUUGCACUUGAUAAAUUUGUUGGUUUUCAAAAGGUUACUCAGACUCUGGUUUGAGUGUUUCCAAUUGUAUGAACCUUUUGAGCUAAACUAGUUCAUGUAAUUACAUGGCAAGAAAACCCUGGGAUGACUGUUCUCUAUCAUCUAGGUCUUGUGUUUCAGUAUAGAUAUUUUUUUUGGGACAACAGUGUUUCAGUAUAUAAGCUAUGGCUUUCUAGCCCUUUUGCCGGAUCUGCAGUUUUCUAAAUUUCUGUUAAUACUAACUUUCUUCUGGUAACAUAGCUUCAGUAAGUUGAAUUAAUGUAUAAACAAAAAAGGGUAUCCCUUAAAAGUGCAGGCAGAUAAGAUUACACUCUGCAUUGCUAGACAGAUAAGAUUACACUUGUGUACCAUAAAAUAUCUUAAAACUGCAGGCAGAUAAGAUUACACUCUGCAUUGCUAGACACAAGAUCUUCACUCCAGUGGCUUGUCGCCAAGGUGAAAGAAAGAAUUAUUUCGGCCACUUUAAGAAAAUGUAUGGCGAAAAGUUCGAAAACAAUCAGGUGAGUCUUUCCUUUCCAGUAGCUUGGGACUAGAUGAAUUUUUUUUUUCCGAUAGGAAAUUCAUGUUUUUAAGCAAGCCAAUUCACUGCAUAAUCUUAUGACAGGCACACGUUCGAAUACUACGACAAAGAUGAAACAAUUGUGGCUCAUACAGCCGGAGGUAUCGAUGCAUUUUUAAAAGUCUCUGAUGGUUGGCCGCUGCUGAAUUCUCCACUAAAGCUCGCAUCUCUCAAGAACUCUGAGAAUCAUUCAAAUGGAAUCUCGCUGAGCCUAAUCUGCAAAGUAGAAGUAAGACCCUUCAAUACUUCUCGAUUUUAAUAAUUUCACCAUAGGAAAAGCUCUGCUUGCUAAAAAAUAAUGAUUGGAUGUUAGUUUCUGGUUUUAAUCAGCUUAACGAUUUUAUAACUUAAUCUAAUAUAUGUCAGGAACUAGCGAAUUCACUGGAUUUACAGACCCGGCAAAACUUAUCAAGCUUCAUGGAUGCUGUUGAGAAGAUACUUAUGCAGCAAAGUCGUGAGGAACUCAAUUCCAGUGAACCUUCCCAAAAGUGAGUUACCAAGAAAACGUCCUUAACUCCAUAACCUAACAUGUUUUGAGAAGUUUGUUGCGUGUUUGCUAUCUGCAACCCUUUUGUCGUAAUACUUUUGAAAUAACUUCUGCCAGGGUCGAAUCAUAUCUAAUGAUGAAGCUUGUUUUGCUUUAUGCUUAUGAAAAGAGCAAAUGUGAUAACAGAUUUGACAUGAAAGAGCCAAACUUUUAUUGUCCUAUAACUUCUUCUGGUCCUACCCAUUAGCCUUAUUGUCCUCAAGUUGCCUUCAAAUGUCCACAUCUUUACCCACUAUACUUAUGUCAUAAUGUAUGUAUAUGUACCAUUAUAAUUCAUAUUUUACAUUAUCUUCAUACACGCAUCUCCGCUGUUCCCACACCCACUUGUGCAUAUAACUAAAGAAAGAAAUAAUCUCCACUUUCUUUUUCCUAUAUAUUUAACUGCUGCAAGACUACUGGUUGAAAGCCAAGAAGCUCAGAGGUUCCUCUGCUCACACUCAUGGAGGAACCCAUCAUAGAGAGCUUCUUCUUCCCUCCAACUAACCUUCCUCCUGAAAUGAUGGAAGAGAUUCUCUUAAGACUACCCGUGAAGUCACUGAAGCGAUUCAAAUGCGUUUGCACCUCAUGGAGGUCUUUGAUCUCAGACACUCUGUUUACUCUGAAACACGCUUUGAUGUUGGAGGCGUCCAAGGCAACCACUUACAAGAAGAGUCCAUACGGAGUCAUCACAACGUCUCGGUACCAUCUCAAAUCUUGCUGCGUCCACUCUCUGUAUAAUGAGCCAAUGGCCAACGUCUUUGAGCAUGAUGGUGAGCUUUUAGGCAGAGAUUACUACCAAGUCGUGGGGACCUGCAAUGGGUUGGUCUGUUUCCAUGUAGAUUACAACAAAAGCUUCUACUUGUGGAACCCCACCAUCAAGGUUCAACAAAGAUUGCGUGGUUCGGAUCUUGAAACGGGAGAUGAGGUUGUUGUAAACUAUGGAUUUGGUUAUGAUGAAUCUGAAGAUGACUAUAAGAUAGUUGCAUUGUUGCAGCAAAGACAACAACUGAAGACAGAGGCAAUGAUCUACUCAACGAGGCAGAAGCUAUGGAGAAGAAGAAGCAGCAGCAACACUUGUUUUCCAUCUGGAGUUGUUCUUGCUAACAAAUCAAGAUCCGGCAUCUACAUCAAUGGAACACUAAACUGGGCAGCCACUCACUCCUCAUCAUCAGUUUCUACCAUCAUAUCAUACGAUAUGUCCCGAGAUGUGUUCAAGGAGCUUCUUGGACCAGGCUGUUGCAAGAGAGGAUGUUUUACAAUGACACUUGGAGAUUUGAGAGGAUGUCUUUCGAUGGUGUGUUAUUGCAAAGGAGCAAAAGCAGAUGUUUGGGUGAUGAAGGAGUUUGGAGAAAGAGAAUCUUGGUCUAAACUAUUGAGCAUUCCCGGUUUGACUGAGUUUGUUAGACCGCUUUGGAUCUCAAGAGAUUUCGUGGUUUUGUUGGAGUUUAGAUCCGGUUUAGCUCUAUACAACUGUGCCAAUGGGAAGUUCCAGUACCCAGUUCAAGACAGCUUGAGCGGUUGUCGGGACGCUAAAGUCUAUGUCAAGACAUUGGUUUCUCCAAGGGACCUUUAAGAUUGGCUCUAUACACAUUGUUUUCACUUUGGAUUUGGUUCAGUUUAUCUGCGCACCAUUGUUAUACAUCUACUUAAAAGGUAUUUUUUGUUCGUUCUUUAAUCGUAAAGUUACAUUUUUCAUGUGGGAAACAAUAUAAAAAAAAGCAAUCAGUCAAAUAUUCCCUAACAAAAUCAUCACCAUACCAACACACACAUCCUUUUGCUCUGUGUCUACGUACAUGGAAGAAUCUGGACCGUUAGAUCAAACAGUUGGAUGAUAAAAAAAUUCUCAGGAGGCUAUUUUAUCUGAGGUGGAGCUCCGACCAGAUCCUGGACUGGUGAAGACAGGAUUGUCUCUAGGCGUAGAGGAAGCUCCACGACCACUUGCACUGUUUCCCAUAUCUUUAGUCUUAUGAAGCAGAAACGUUCCUGACAAAAUAGUCACAAAACCGCACAGUUGUGUAGCGAUCUUUAACCCGCUCUGCGAAGCCCAGUCCUAUAAAUUACAUAGAGGAGAGGUUAAGAACAUGUUGUGUGAUGUUAGAUGGAGUUUAACUUGGGAGGGAAGAAAAGGAUUUGACCUUGAACAUGAUCAUACUAGCUAUAAUGGUGAAAGUUUAAUUUGUGUGAGAACUCUUCACUGUAGAAUAAUGCUAAUUUGUGUUAUGGGAAUUUUGCAUAGACAAAGGUGAAAGAGAUUGUUGAAGAUUAUUGCCAUGUUGAAGAGUCAGGUAUGCCUUUUUUUUUUUUGUUUAAUGAGUAGUAGAUGAAUAUGAUUUUAUAAAGAUGAAUCUUACAGAGGCUUACUUGGAGUAUUUACGAAAGGAGCUUCAUUCCGCUGAGGCUGAAAGUGCCAAGGUUUCUCAAGAAAUUGAGCGUCUUUCCAAAGCUCAUGCGGAAGGUUUGUUAUUAUUACAUUUCGUGUAUGCCAUCCAAGUCCUGUUGUUAUUUUUCUUUAUUAAUAUGAUUUUUUGUUAGACUCUACUAGGCUGGAAUCGGAUCUUGAAGGUCUUCUAUUCUCACUGGAUUUUCUCUCAUCUCAGGUUACUCACUUUACUUUCUUUCCCCUUUGCAUUGUAACUUAUUUACUGAGUUGAAUACAUGAACUUUCCUGGUAAAGUCCCAAGUUUGAGGGUUCUGUGGUUUUCAUUUAGGAUGUGGACAAGUCAAAAGAGAACUUACCGUCCAGCAGCUCAAUGGAAGUAUGUGAUGUGGAUUAUGACGAGAAAUUUAAGGUGCGUGUCUGUGAACAAUCUCAACAAAGUUUCAUCUUUCUGACAUCUGAUCUUCCACUUUUUCCAACUAUUGCUUACUCUGAUUGAUGUGGCAGAAAGUGCAAAACUACUUUUGCAGAAAGUACGUACUGUCCUUGAUAGUUCUAGUUUCCCCUUCCUUGAAUAACUUCGUAGUGGUUAAGGGUUAGCAUCAAAAUGUUAUUCCUGCUUGUCUUCAUGUUGUUUUAUGUUGUGCAGAGAUGAAUUCAUAUUUGUUUCUAGAUUAGACCUCUACCACCUUCUCUGCUUAGUUUCUAUACACCCUUUUCACAUGUUUUUCAGAUGU
rnacentral:lncRNA from 1 species